rnacentral:rRNA from 1 species
CACGGGGGGAGCAAGCGUUGUUCGGAACUCACGUGGCGUAAAGGGCGUGUAGGCGGUUCGGUAAGUGGAAUGUGAAAUGCUCCGGCUCACCCGGAGUACUGCAUCCCAAACUGCCGAGCUUGAGUAUGGGAGAGGAUGAGGGAAUUCCUGGUGUAGCGGUGAAAUGCGUAGAUAUCGAGAGGAACACCUGCGGCGAAGGCAGCUCGCUGGAACGGUACUGACGCUGAGGCGCGAAAGCGUGGGGAGCGAACAGG